rnacentral:pre_miRNA from 1 species
AGAGGAAUUGCUGGGUCAUAUGGUAAUUUUAUUCUUAAUUUUUUGAGCAAAUUCCAUGCUGUUUUCCAGAGUAAAUGUACCAAUUUACAUUCCCACCAGCAGU